rnacentral:rRNA from 1 species
GAUUAACGCUGGCGGCGUGCAUAACACAUGCAAGUCGAACGAAGUGGCGGACGGGUGAGUAACGCGUGAGUAACCUGCCUUAGAGAAGGGGAUAGCCUUUGGAAACGAAGAAUAAUACCCUAUGCUCUAAGAUGGACUUGCGUCUGAUUAGUUAGUUGGUGGGGUAACGGCCCACCAAGACAGCGAUCAGUAGCCGGCGUGAGAGAGGGGACGGCAACAUUGGGACUGAGACACGGACCAGACUCGACGGGAGGCAGCAGUGGGGAAGUGUGCACAAUGGGGGAAACCCUGAUGCAGCGACGCCGCGUGAUUUAGAAGGCCGUAGGGUUGUAAAAAUCUUUUCUAUGGGAAGCAGUACCAUAGGAAUAAGGACCGGCUAAUUACGUGCCAGCAGCCGCGGUAAUAC